UUCUUCCUUUCGGCUCUCGCGGCAGCGAGAGCGGUUGGCCUGGGGCCGGGAUGGCCGCCGGGACGGCCGGCGGGGGCCGCGGCCCCGACCUUCUCCCGCUGUGGCCGCCGUGAGGGCUCCCAGCUGAUACCACGGCUCAAGCGAGUGCAAAGGGAUGGCUCUAACUUGGAGGUCCUGGUGGCAAAGCUGUCUGGAAGAUGCAGCCCUCUGUUGCCUUUGGUUAAGAAAACCUUCAUCUGUGGAGGGGAGAUGUCAGUGAAUAGCCUGCAUGUGAGGCACAGGGAGAGCCAUCUGAGCUAUAUGGGGGCUUGCUGGAGCAGCAGUACUUGUCAGAAGAAAAAGAACAACCUGUUGGUGCUGCUUUGAAGUUCCUCAUUUGAAAGAGACUUGAGAAGAUGCAAACUUCCCCCGUUUAAAUAAGACUGCUGGAGAAUUGUUUAGGAUCUGGGUGUAGUAAAUGGAGGUAUUGGGGUGGCUUGAGGGGAAGGUGUAACAGGAGUUACACAGAGAAUUGUUAAUCCCCUCUUGCUGCUAUUAUUACUUCUAUUAAACUUAGUUAUAUUUGAAA